GGGCUCCGGCGUGCGGGCGAAGGGGCACGACCGACGAGCUGCAUCUGCCACCGCGAGCCCGCAGAAUUGAAGUCUAUCAACGCCACACAUCGCCGGCGUAUGCGAGCCCAACGCUGGAAGCCUCCAAGCCUGGGAGGCGAACGCAGAGAGAUGAGAGGUUGGGAAAAGAUAACGAAUGAUUAAAAGAUUGCUGACAUGUGGGGUCUACAAAUCUUUGGAAUAAGUGUUAUAGCUAACCUUUGGAUGGCUAGUCUACGAUGCUCCCUGUAGCUGAUCUGGAUAAAAUUAUGGAGAGCAUGCUCUCUACACC
rnacentral:lncRNA from 1 species